GCGCCGUUAGCUCAGUUGGUAGAGCAGCUGACUCUUAAUCAGCGGGUCCGGGGUUCGAAACCCUGACGGCGCACCU
rnacentral:tRNA from 5 species